GGGUUAGAAGUGUUUACACGUUUCAGCUUCGAAUUGAAAAAAGAAUUAUUUUCCUAAUCCU
rnacentral:tRNA from 1 species